rnacentral:rRNA from 1 species
ACCAGACUCCUACGGGAGGCAGCAGUGGGGAAUAUUGCACAAUGGGGGAAACCCUGAUGCAGCGACGUCGCGUGAGUGAUGAAGUAUUUCGGUAUGUAAAGCUCUAUCAGCAGGGAAGAAAAUGACGGUACCUGACUAAGAAGCCCCGGCUAACUACGUGCCAGCAGCCGCGGUAAUACGUAGGGGGCAAGCGUUAUCCGGAUUUACUGGGCGUAAAGGGAGCGUAGGCGGCCUGCCAAGUCUGAUAUGAAAUACCGGGGCUCAACCCCGGGGCUGCAUUGGAAACUGGCAGGCUGGAGUGCCGGAGAGGCAGGCGGAAUUCCUAGUGUAGCGGUGAAAUGCGUAGAUAUUAGGAGGAACACCAGUGGCGAAGGCGGCUUACUGGACUGUAACUGACGUUGAGGCUCGAAAGCGUGGGGAGCAAACAGGAUUAGAUACCCCCGUAU